AAUCCAUAGGUUAAUGAGGCGAACCGGGGGAACUGAAACAUCUAAGUACCCCGAGGAAAAGAAAUCAACCGAGAUUCCCCCAGUAGCGGCGAGCGAACGGGGAGGAGCCCAGAGCCUGAAUCAGCAUGUGUGUUAGUGGAAGCGUCUGGAAAGGCGCGCGAUACAGGGUGACAGCCCCGUACACAAAAGCGCAUGUGCUGUGAGCUCGAUGAGUAGGGCGGGACACGUGGUAUCCUGUCUGAAUAUGGGGGGACCAUCCUCCAAGGCUAAAUACUCCUGACUGACCGAUAGUGAACCAGUACCGUGAGGGAAAGGCGAAAAGAACCCCGGCGAGGGGAGUGAAAAAGAACCUGAAACCGUGUACGUACAAGCAGUGGGAGCACAGGUUUACCUGUGUGACUGCGUACCUUUUGUAUAAUGGGUCAGCGACUUAUAUUCUGUAGCAAGGUUAACCGAAUAGGGGAGCCGGAGGGAAACCGAGUCUUAAUUGGGCGUUAAGUUGCAGGGUAUAGACCCGAAACCCGGUGAUCUAGCCAUGGGCAGGUUGAAGGUUGGGUAACACUAACUGGAGGACCGAACCGACUAAUGUUGAAAAAUUAGCGGAUGACCUGU
rnacentral:rRNA from 1 species